AUAUCUCUCUGUACGGGAAGGAUGAGAAGCUUCGACUAAGGUUCGAUUCGAGCGAAAGCGAGAAAGCGUUGCCGAAGGCAACGACCCGAAGGGCGAAGCGCGCAGCGCUGAGUAAUCCUUCCCCCACCACCA
rnacentral:sRNA from 1 species